rnacentral:tRNA from 1 species
CAGGGAAUAGUUUAAAUAGAAUUUCAGCUUUGGGUGCUGAUAGUGAGGCUAUGGCUUCUUCCUUGAG